GACGAACGCUGGCGGCGUGCUUAACACAUGCAAGUCGAACGGAAAGGCCCUGCUUUUGUGGGGUGCUCGAGUGGCGAACGGGUGCGUAACACGUGAGUAACCUGCCCUUGACUUUGGGAUAACUUCAGGAAACUGGGGCUAAUACCGGAUAGGAGCUCCUGCUGCAUGGUGGGGGUUGGAAAGUUUCGGCGGUUGGGGAUGGACUCGCGGCUUAUCAGCUUGUUGGUGGGGUAGUGGCUUACCAAGGCUUUGACGGGUAGCCGGCCUGAGAGGGUGACCGGCCACAUUGGGACUGAGAGACGGCCCAGACUCCUACGGGAGGCAGCAGUGGGGAAUAUUGCACAAUGGGCGGAAGCCUGAUGCAGCAACGCCGCGGGCGGGAUGACGGCCUUCGGGUUGUAAACCGCUUUCGCCUGUGACGAAGCGUGAGUGACGGUAAUGGGUAAAGAAGCACCGGCUAACUACGUG
rnacentral:rRNA from 1 species